rnacentral:RNase_P_RNA from 1 species
CAAGCAAGCUGGGUGGCCGCGUGCGGCAGGGCCGUACGAGGAAAGUCCGAGCUCCGUAGAGCAGGGUGCUGGGUAAUACCCAGUGGGGGUGACCCCAAGGAAAGUGCCACAGAAACAUACCGCCGAUUUAGAUUGGCAAGGGUGAAAUGGUGAGGUAAGAGCUCACCGGCAGCCGGGUGACCGGCUGGCCGGGUAAACCCCGUCUGGAGCAAGACCAUGUAGGGAGGCGUGGCGUCCCAGCGGCGCCAGGGGGCUGCUCGUCCCCGACCUCCGGGUAAGGUCGCUAGCGGAGGCGGCGGGCAAUCGCCGCCCUAGAUAGAUGGUCACCACUCCGCGCAUCGCGAGGCGCGCGGAGAACAGAACUCGGCUUACGGCUUGCUUGGGCC